rnacentral:lncRNA from 1 species
CGGCUGAUUGAUUGAGGUUUGAUGGAAGGAUGGUUUGUUAGACUUAGGAUUUCUAUUCAGGUAAUCAGGAUUAUAAUCCUACAGACGCCUAAUAAGUUGUAUGCAUGAUAUUAUAGAGCUCAACACUAUUAAACAAACCAUUAGGUUGUCGCUUUAUAGGUUUGUCUAUUGACCUGAUAUAAGUGUCGAUCGAUGAUUCAAUAGAAAUAUCGAUAUAUACACUUGUUGAACCAUCGACCGAUUAUUUGAUUAGAAUAUCGAUC